CCCUAGCCCCGAUAGAAGUGGAAAUCCUUUUGUGCCGGGGUUCGGCACAAAAGAUUGUAACGGAUAGCGGGAUUAGCU
rnacentral:sRNA from 2 species